rnacentral:rRNA from 1 species
ACUCCUACGGGAGGCAGCAGUGGGGAAUAUUGCGCAAUGGGCGAAAGCCUGACGCAGCGACGCCGCGUGAGGGAUGAAGGCCUUCGGGUCGUAAACCUCUUUCAGCAGGGAAGAAGCGAAAGUGACGGUACCUGCAGAAGAAGCACCGGCUAACUACGUGCCAGCAGCCGCGGUAAUACGUAGGGUGCAAGCGUUGUCCGGAAUUAUUGGGCGUAAAGAGCUCGUAGGCGGUCUGUCGCGUCUGCUGUGAAAACUCAGGGCUUAACCCUGGCUUGCAGUGGGUAGGCAGACUAGAGUGCGGUAGGGGAGACUGGAAUUCCUGGUGUAGCGGUGAAAUGCGCAGAUAUCAGGAGGAACACCGGUGGCGAAGGCGGGUCUCUGGGCCGUAACUGACGCUGAGGAGCGAAAGCAUGGGGAGCGAACAGGAUUAGAUACCCUGGUAGUCCAUGCCGUAAACGUUGGGCGCUAGGUGUGGGGCUCUUUCCACGAGUUCGUGCCGCAGCUAACGCAUUAAGCGCCCCGCCUGGGGAGUACGGCCGCAAGGCUAAAACUCAAAGGAAUUGACGGGGGCCCGCACAAGCGGCGGAGCAUGCGGAUUAAUUCGAUGCAACGCGAAGAACCUUACCAAGGCUUGACAUGGGGUGAAAACUCGCAGAGAUGCGGGGUCCGCAAGGGCGCCUCACAGGUGGUGCAUGGUUGUCGUCAGCUCGUGUCGUGAGAUGUUGGGUUAAGUCCCGCAACGAGCGCAACCCUCGUUCUAUGUUGCCAGCACGUGAUGGUGGGGACUCAUAGGAGACUGCCGGGGUCAACUCGGA